UUUCCUUGAGGUGAAUCGCCCUGC
rnacentral:siRNA from 1 species